UUGGAACAGUGGCAUAAGCAAGGCAGCCAAAAGCCCUUAAAUGAUGAAAAGUGGGAGGUUUCCCAUACAACAGUUCAUGAGGAGAUUUAUUAUGUAAUAAUCUGGUGGGUAUUCUAUUAAGAAAGUAUGUAGCAGUUGAUAAACAAUCCCCCCAGAAAGAAGUAGGGCAAGGCAGCCAAAAGCCCUUAAAUGAUGAAAAGUAGGAGGUUUCCCAUACAACAGUUCAUGAGGAGAUUUAUUAUGUAAUAAUCUGGUGGGUAUUCUAUUAAGCAAGUAUGUAGCAGUUAAUAAACAAUCCACCCAGAAAGAAGUAGGCAACCCAGACUGAAAAAGAGCCCUACAAGUCUCAAGAAGGGUUCUGUGUUUUCUUUCAACAAGUCCAUUUUGUUGGGGAGUGUGAGAACAGGAAGUUUGGUGGAUGAUGCCCUUGCUGCUAAAAAAUGAAAUGCCUUCAUUGCUGGAACCCAACUCCAAUGCAUUAUCACUUCUAACAGUUUGGACCAUAGUAUGAAACUGGGUCUUAACCAUAGAAAUAAAGGACUUAAGCAUAGAAAAGGCAUUGCCUUUAGAUCCUAACAAGUGAGUCCAUGUUGCUCUUGAAAAAUCAUCAACUAUUGUGAUGAAGUAUCUACAGCCAGAAAAAGUUGGAGUGUGAUAAGGUCCCCAGGUGUCAACAUGAAUCAGCUGAAAUGGCUUAGAGGUUUUAAUGGAACUGUCAGGAAAAGAAAGCCUAGUUUGUCUGGCCAUAGGGCAGACUGAACAAGGGAAAGGUUGUUUAGAAGCAAAAGGGAAACAUAAACCAUAAAUACAUCUCAUAUGUGCAAAAGGAUUAUGACCAAGCCGUAGGUGCCAAAUGUAAUUCAUAUCAGAAUUCAAAUCAUUAUUACAAUUGGAACUAUUUACA
rnacentral:lncRNA from 1 species